rnacentral:rRNA from 1 species
ACGGGUGAGUAACGCGUGGGAACCUGCCUGGAGGUGCGGAAUAACGCCGGGAAACUGGCGCUAAUACCGCAUAUUGCCUGAGGGUGAAAGAUUUAUCGCCUCCAGAGGGGCCCGCGUCCGAUUAGGUAGUUGGUGAGGUAACGGCUCACCAAGCCGUCGAUCGGUAGCUGGUCUGAGAGGAUGAUCAGCCACACUGGGACUGAGACACGGCCCAGACUCCUACGGGAGGCAGCAGUGGGGAAUAUUGGACAAUGGGGGCAACCCUGAUCCAGCAAUGCCGCGUGAGUGAUGAAGGCCUUCGGGUUGUAAAGCUCUUUUGGCGGGGACGAUGAUGACGGUACCCGCAGAAUAAGCUCCGGCUAACUUCGUGCCAGCAGCCGCGGUAAUACGAAGGGAGCUAGCGUUGUUCGGAGUUACUGGGCGUAAAGGGCGCGUAGGCGGUCUGUCAAGUCGGGAGUGAAAUCCCUGGGCUCAACCCGGGAAUUGCUCUCGAGACUGGCAGGCU